UGACUAAUUCCCGGUGACCUCGUGUUUACAAUUCAGAACGUUACUUCCGAGAUCGGCGGGAAUUAGCCAUG
rnacentral:pre_miRNA from 1 species